ACGUGCUAAUCUGCGAUAAGCGUCGGUAAGGUGAUAUGAACCGUUAUAACCGGCGAUUUCCGAAUGGGGAAACCCAGUGUGUUUCGACACACUAUCAUUAACUGAAUCCAUAGGUUAAUGAGGCGAACCGGGGGAACUGAAACAUCUAAGUACCCCGAGGAAAAGAAAUCAACCGAGAUUCCCCCAGUAGCGGCGAGCGAACGGGGAGCAGCCCAGAGCCUGAAUCAGUGUGUGUGUUAGUGGAAGCGUCUGGAAAGGCGCGCGAUACAGGGUGACAGCCCCGUACACAAAAAUGCACAUGCUGUGAGCUCGAUGAGUAGGGCGGGACACGUGGUAUCCUGUCUGAAUAUGGGGGGACCAUCCUCCAAGGCUAAAUACUCCUGACUGACCGAUAGUGAACCAGUACCGUGAGGGAAAGGCGAAAAGAACCCCGGCGAGGGGAGUGAAAAAGAACCUGAAACCGUGUACGUACAAGCAGUGGGAGCACGCUUAGGCGUGUGACUGCGUACCUUUUGUAUAAUGGGUCAGCGACUUAUAUUCUGUAGCAAGGUUAACCGAAUAGGGGAGCCGAAGGGAAACCGAGUCUUAACUGGGCGUUAAGUUGCAGGGUAUAGACCCGAAACCCGGUGAUCUAGCCAUGGGCAGGUUGAAGGUUGGGUAACACUAACUGGAGGACCGAACCGACUAAUGUUGAAAAAUUAGCGGAUGACUUGUGGCUGGGGGUGAAAGGCCAAUCAAACCGGGAGAUAGCUGGUUCUCCCCGAAAGCUAUUUAGGUAGCGCCUCGUGAAUUCAUCUCCGGGGGUAGAGCACUGUUUCGGCAAGGGGGUCAUCCCGACUUACCAACCCGAUGCAAACUGCGAAUACCGGAGAAUGUUAUCACGGGAGACACACGGCGGGUGCUAACGUCCGUCGUGAAGAGGGAAACAACCCAGACCGCCAGCUAAGGUCCCAAAGUCAUGGUUAAGUGGGAAACGAUGUGGGAAGGCCCAGACAGCCAGGAUGUUGGCUUAGAAGCAGCCAUCAUUUAAAGAAAGCGUAAUAGCUCACUGGUCGAGUCGGCCUGCGCGGAAGAUGUAACGGGGCUAAACCAUGCACCGAAGCUGCGGCAGCGACGCUUAUGCGUUGUUGGGUAGGGGAGCGUUCUGUAAGCCUGUGAAGGUGUGCUGUGAGGCAUGCUGGAGGUAUCAGAAGUGCGAAUGCUGACAUAAGUAACGAUAAAGCGGGUGAAAAGCCCGCUCGCCGGAAGACCAAGGGUUCCUGUCCAACGUUAAUCGGGGCAGGGUGAGUCGACCCCUAAGGCGAGGCCGAAAGGCGUAGUCGAUGGGAAACAGGUUAAUAUUCCUGUACUUGGUGUUACUGCGAAGGGGGGACGGAGAAGGCUAUGUUGGCCGGGCGACGGUUGUCCCGGUUUAAGCGUGUAGGCUGGUUUUCCAGGCAAAUCCGGAAAAUCAAGGCUGAGGCGUGAUGACGAGGCACUACGGUGCUGAAGCAACAAAUGCCCUGCUUCCAGGAAAAGCCUCUAAGCAUCAGGUAACAUCAAAUCGUACCCCAAACCGACACAGGUGGUCAGGUAGAGAAUACCAAGGCGCUUGAGAGAACUCGGGUGAAGGAACUAGGCAAAAUGGUGCCGUAACUUCGGGAGAAGGCACGCUGAUAUGUAGGUGAAGUCCCUCGCGGAUGGAGCUGAAAUCAGUCGAAGAUACCAGCUGGCUGCAACUGUUUAUUAAAAACACAGCACUGUGCAAACACGAAAGUGGACGUAUACGGUGUGACGCCUGCCCGGUGCCGGAAGGUUAAUUGAUGGGGUCAGCGCAAGCGAAGCUCUUGAUCGAAGCCCCGGUAAACGGCGGCCGUAACUAUAACGGUCCUAAGGUAGCGAAAUUCCUUGUCGGGUAAGUUCCGACCUGCACGAAUGGCGUAAUGAUGGCCAGGCUGUCUCCACCCGAGACUCAGUGAAAUUGAACUCGCUGUGAAGAUGCAGUGUACCCGCGGCAAGACGGAAAGACCCCGUGAACCUUUACUAUAGCUUGACACUGAACAUUGAGCCUUGAUGUGUAGGAUAGGUGGGAGGCUUAGAAGUGUGGACGCCAGUCUGCAUGGAGCCGACCUUGAAAUACCACCCUUUAAUGUUUGAUGUUCUAACGUUGACCCGUAAUCCGGGUUGCGGACAGUGUCUGGUGGGUAGUUUGACUGGGGCGGUCUCCUCCUAAAGAGUAACGGAGGAGCACGAAGGUUGGCUAAUCCUGGUCGGACAUCAGGAGGUUAGUGCAAUGGCAUAAGCCAGCUUGACUGCGAGCGUGACGGCGCGAGCAGGUGCGAAAGCAGGUCAUAGUGAUCCGGUGGUUCUGAAUGGAAGGGCCAUCGCUCAACGGAUAAAAGGUACUCCGGGGAUAACAGGCUGAUACCGCCCAAGAGUUCAUAUCGACGGCGGUGUUUGGCACCUCGAUGUCGGCUCAUCACAUCCUGGGGCUGAAGUAGGUCCCAAGGGUAUGGCUGUUCGCCAUUUAAAGUGGUACGCGAGCUGGGUUUAGAACGUCGUGAGACAGUUCGGUCCCUAUCUGCCGUGGGCGCUGGAGAACUGAGGGGGGCUGCUCCUAGUACGAGAGGACCGGAGUGGACGCAUCACUGGUGUUCGGGUUGUCAUGCCAAUGGCACUGCCCGGUAGCUAAAUGCGGAAGAGAUAAGUGCUGAAAGCAUCUAAGCACGAAACUUGCCCCGAGAUGAGUUCUCCCUGACUCCUUGAGAGUCCUGAAGGAACGUUGAAGACGACGACGUUGAUAGGCCGGGUGUGUAAGCGCAGCGAUGCGUUGAGCUAACCGGUACUAAUGAACCGUGAGG
rnacentral:rRNA from 1 species